AGAGUUUGAUCCUGGCUCAGAAUGAACGCUUAUGAGUAGCCUAACACAUGCAAGCUUAAUUAAUUUUAUGUUUUCUGUAAAAAAGUAGCGAACGGGUGAGUAUAACGUAGAAACUAACCUAAAAAUUUAGUUAAAAACUUUAAGAUUUAUUUGUUUUUAGAAAGGUCUAUGUAAAAUUAAGUAGUUGGUUGGGUUAGAGCUUACCAAGCUUACGAUUUUUAGUUGGUCUAUGCGGAUGAACAACCACAUUGGAAUUGAGAUAUGGUCCAAACUCUAUAUCAAGAGGCAGCAGUGGGGAAUAUUGGGCAAUGAAUAAUAGUUUGACCCAGCUAGGUCAUAUGUAUGAUGAAGAUGUGUAAUUGUAAAAUACUUUUAUCAAAUUAGAAUAGUGAUUAGUUCUUGAAUAAGCCCUGGCUAAUUUCGUGCCAGCAGCCGCGGUAAAACGGGAAGGGCUAGUGUUAUUCAGAUUAACUGGGCGUAAAGUAUACGUAGGCGGAAAAUUAACUAAUGAUCUAAAUCUUAGAUUUAUUUUUAAAGGUAUUAUUAAAUUUAUUUUCUUGAGUGUAUGAGAGGAUUACAGAAUUUUAAGUGUAAUGGUUAAAUAUGUUGAGAUUUGAAGGAAUUUCUAAAGCGAAAGCAGUAAUCUAGAUUAUAACUGACGCUGAGGUAUGAAAGCAUGGGGAGUAAAGAGGAUUAGAUACCCUUGUAAUCCAUGCCCUCAACAAUGGGUGUUUAUUUUUGAAAUUUAGCAAAAAUAAAGUUAACACGUUAAGCACUUCGCCAGGGAACUACGGCCGCAAGGUUAAAACUUAAAGGAAUUGACGGGGAUCUACACACGCAGUGAAGCAUGUGGUUUAAAUUGACAAUACGCGUGAAACCUUACCAGUUUUUGUAUAAUAUUAUUAAAUAUAACAGGUGUUGCAUGGCUGUCGUCAGUCCGUGCUGUGAAGCGUUUGAUUAAUUUCAAUAAACGGACGAAACUCUUUUAUAUUUUUUGGAGAAUAUAAAUUAUCAAGAAUAUCUUGAGGGAAGAAUGAAUGAUGUCAAGUCCUCAUGACCCUAAUAAAUUGGGCUACUUUCAUGUGCUACAAUGAUUCUUUCAAAAAGAAGUAAAAAUGUGAGUUUAAAUAAGUCUGAAACAAGAGUCAAAUUUGAAUUAUUUUCUGCAACUUGAAAAUAUGAAAUUGGAAUUGCUAGUAAUCGUAAAUAAGAAUGUUACGGUGAAUUUGUUCUUAGAUCUUGUACACACCGCCCGUCACGCUAUGGAAAAUUUAUUUGUUUGAAAAUAAAUUUAUAUUUAUAACAAAUAAAAAACUGAAGUGAAGUCGUAACAAGGUAGCCGUAGGGGAACCUGCGGCUG
rnacentral:rRNA from 1 species